rnacentral:rRNA from 1 species
CCUACGGGUGGCAGCAGUGAGGAAUAUUGGUCAAUGGGCGCGAGCCUGAACCAGCCAAGUAGCGUGAAGGAUGACUGCCCUACGGGUUGUAAACUUCUUUUAUACAGGAAUAAAGUGAGGCACGUGUGCCUUUUUGUAUGUACUUUAUGAAUAAGGACCGGCUAACUCCGUGCCAGCAGCCGCGGUAAUACGGAGGGUCCGAGCGUUAUCCGGAUUUAUUGGGUUUAAAGGGAGCGUAGAUGGGUUGUUAAGUCAGUUGUGAAAGUCUGUGGCUCAACCUUAAAAUUGCAAUUGAUACUGGCAGGCUUGAGUACAGGAGAGGUAGGCGGAAUUCGUGGUGUAGCGGUGAAAUGCGUAGAUAUCACGAAGAACUCCGAUUGCGAAGGCAGCUUACUGAACGGCCACUGACGCUGAUGCUCGAAAGCGUGGGUAUCAAACAGGAUUAGAUACCCUAGUAGUC